rnacentral:rRNA from 1 species
GAAUCUUCCGCAAUGGACGAAAGUCUGACGGAGCAACGCCGCGUGAGUGAUGACGGGUUUCGGCUCGUAAAACCCUGUUGUUCAGGACGAACACUUGAGGUAGUAAAUGGCAUUGAGAUGACGGUACUUAACCAGAAAGCCACGGACAACUACGUGCCUGCAGCCGCGGUAAUACGAAGGUGGCAAGCGUGAACCGGAAUUAUGUGGCGUAAAGCGCGCGUAUGCUGUAAAAUCAUGCUGAGGUGAAAGCCCCCGGCUCAACCGGGGAGGGUCAUUGGAAACUGUUUUACUUGAGUACAGAAGAUGAGAGGGGAAUUCCAGGUGUAGCGGUGAAAUGCGCAGAGAUAUGGAGGAACACCAGUGGCGAAGGCGGCUCUCUGGUCUGUUACUGACGCUGAGGUGCGAAAGCGUGGGGAUCAAAC